rnacentral:tRNA from 1 species
AACAGAGUAGUUUAUAAAGAAUGAUGGGUUUGCGUCUCAUUGGAGGCUGUGUUCUCUGUUG